rnacentral:rRNA from 1 species
AUGGGUGGCUUCUUCUGGGCUAAUUGGGCUUCACGGUGCCAGGCCUGGGACAACGAGAAGAGAGGUUUUUCGGCCCAAUCCUCCGAGCCCAAGCCCAGCUCCCUCCCCUUCUUUUCAUUCCCUCCCCUCACUCGUCUCUACUUUGCCAGCCGCCGCCGCCGCCCGGCUCGUCCGCGACCUCUACCCCGCCGCCGCCCAGAUCCAACUCUGCCGUCCCCAUCCGCGCCGUCGUCCUCCGCCUCCAGCGCGCUCCUCCGCCCCCCGGUCACCUCGCCCGGCACCACCCGCCACCAGAGUCGCCCCUCCAGCCAAGGUGAUCCAAUGGCUUCAGGCAUCAUGCUCCGACGUCUUUCCAAGACACUCACCAUGAGCCCAGCAGCAGCACUGGCAUCUGGUAUGACCAGCCAGCAUCACCAGCUUCAGCAGCGCGCACCGGUCAGCGGCACGUCCAAGGGCAAGGCCAAGCUCAAAGCCGGGAUGCCUCUGAGGCGUAGCGUCAUAGCGAAGAAGGGGGGCGCGCCUGCCACUGCUGGGAGCGGCGGCGCUGGCCGUGGUCGCCGUGAAGCCAUCGAGCGUAUUACUCAGAUUGCAGAGUCAUGUCUCAAGUCCUCCACUCCUCUACGGCACCUGUCCCCCAAGGAGCGUCUCCGCGAGGCAAAGCGUGAGGAGCUUGGGCUCAUCUCCAAGGAACGGCAACGUGAGCUUGACGCUGCCAAGGCUAAAGCUAAAGCUAAAUCCAAGGGUGCCAGUGGAGGUGAUGGUGACCGCGUUCUGAUGGGUCCGCCGGGCCUUGACUAUAUCAGUCUUGGUCUGGUGGAUGAGGAGGCUAUCCCUGAGUAUGAGCUGACAGUUGAAGAUGGCCGGCGUCUUGCCAAAGAAUACAGCCGUGUGCUAAUGCGACGACACCGUGCACGUCAAACUGCAGAGUCAACGCUCUUGAGGCUCAAGAAGGAGGCCAUUGCUGCGCUCCCUGAGAAGCUGCGGGCUGCUGCUAUGGUUCCUGACAUGACCCCGUUCCCUGCAAACAGGUACAUGGCAACACUCACGCCACCUAUUGAAGGGUAUAUUGAAAAGGUGCGAGAUGCUGCCAAGAAGUAUUCAGUGAAGGAGAAACUUCGUUGA